ACGCACGCUGGCGGCGUGCUUCACACCUGCAAGUCGCACGGAAAGGCCCUGCUUUUGUGGGGUGCUCGAGUGGCGAACGGGUGAGUAACACGUGAGUAACCUGCCCUUGACUUUGGGAUAACUUCAGGAAACUGGGGCUAAUACCGGAUAGGAGCUCCUGCUGCAUGGUGGGGGUUGGAAAGUUUCGGCGGUUGGGGAUGGACUCGCGGCUUAUCAGCUUGUUGGUGGGGUAGUGGCUUACCAAGGCUUUGACGGGUAGCCGGCCUGAGAGGGUGACCGGCCACAUUGGGACUGAGAUACGGCCCAGACUCCUACGGGAGGCAGCAGUGGGGAAUAUUGCACAAUGGGCGGAAGCCUGAUGCAGCAACGCCGCGUGCGGGAUGACAGCCUUCGGGUUGUAAACCGCUUUCGCCUGUGACGAAGCGUGAGUGACGGUAAUGGGUAAAGAAGCACCGGCUAACUACGUG
rnacentral:rRNA from 1 species